GACAGAGGAGCCAAGCGUUGUCCGGAUUGACUGGGCGUAAAGCGCACGCAGGCGGUCGUGCACGUGGGGUGUGAAAACUGGCGGCUUAACUGCCAGAGGCCACCUCAUACGGCGCGACUCGAGCCCGUGAGAGGUCCGAUGGAAUUGCCGGUGUAGUGGUGAAAUGCGUAGAGAUCGGCAGGAACACCCAGGGAGAAAUCAGUGGACUGGCACGGUGCUGACGCUCAGGUGCGAAAGCGUGGGGAGCGAACAGG
rnacentral:rRNA from 1 species